AUUGAACGCUGGCGGCAGGCCUAACACAUGCAAGUCGAGCGGAUGAAGGGAGCUUGCUCCUGGAUUCAGCGGCGGACGGGUGAGUAAUGCCUAGGAAUCUGCCUGGUAGUGGGGGAUAACGUCCGGAAACGGGCGCUAAUACCGCAUACGUCCUGAGGGAGAAAGUGGGGGAUCUUCGGACCUCACGCUAUCAGAUGAGCCUAGGUCGGAUUAGCUAGUUGGUGGGGUAAAGGCCUACCAAGACGACGAUCCGUAACUGGUCUGAGAGGAUGAUCAGUCACACUGGAACUGAGACACGGUCCAGACUCCUACAGGAGGCAGCAGUGGGGAAUAUUGGACAAUGGGCGAAAGCCUGAUCCAGCCAUGCCGCGUGUGUGAAGAAGGUCUUCGGAUUGUAAAGCACUUUAAGUUGGGAGGAAGGGCAGUAAGUUAAUACCUUGCUGUUUUGACGUUACCAACAGAAUAAGCACCGGCUAACUUCGUG
rnacentral:rRNA from 1 species